rnacentral:pre_miRNA from 1 species
GACGGGGGUGGGGGUCUCUCAGCUGGAUUGUGAGAGGGUGCAGGCCAGGCUGAGGGACCCCACCGGUGCACG